rnacentral:rRNA from 1 species
GAUGAACGCUGGCGGCGUGCUUAACACAUGCAAGUCGAACGAAACACCUUAUUUGAUUUUCUUCGGAACUGAAGAUUUGGUGAUUGAGUGGCGGACGGGUGAGUAACGCGUGGGUAACCUGCCCUGUACAGGGGGAUAACAGUCAGAAAUGACUGCUAAUACCGCAUAAGACCACAGCACCGCAUGGUGCAGGGGUAAAAACUCCGGUAGUACAGGAUGGACCCGCGUCUGAUUAGCUGGUUGGUGAGGUAACGGCUCACCAAGGCGACGAUCAGUAGCCGGCUGGGGAGGGGGGACGGCAAAGGGGGACAAGAGCAACGCCCAAAACCCACAGGGGAGGAGGAGGGGGGGAAUAUUGAAAAAGGGGGAAAACCUGAAUGCGCCGACGCGGGGGGAGAAAAAAGUUUUUCGGGUAUGAAAACCUCUAUCAGAAGGAAAAAAAAUGAGGUACCCUAACAAAAAGCCCCGGGCAAACUCGGUC